rnacentral:rRNA from 1 species
AACGAACGCUGGCGGCAGGCUUAACACAUGCAAGUCGAGCGCCCCGCAAGGGGAGCGGCAGACGGGUGAGUAACGCGUGGGAAUCUACCCAUCUCUACGGAAUAACGCAUGGAAACGUGUGCUAAUACCGUAUACGUCCUUCGGGAGAAAGAUUUAUCGGAGAUGGAUGAGCCCGCGUUGGAUUAGCUAGUUGGUGGGGUAAAGGCCUACCAAGGCGACGAUCCAUAGCUGGUCUGAGAGGAUGAUCAGCCACACUGGGACUGAGACACGGCCCAGACUCCUACGGGAGGCAGCAGUGGGGAAUAUUGGACAAUGGGCGCAAGCCUGAUCCAGCCAUGCCGCGUGUGUGAUGAAGGCCCUAGGGUUGUAAAGCUCUUUCACCGGUGAAGAUAAUGACGGUAACCGGAGAAGAAGCCCCGGCUAACUUCGUGCCAGCCGCCGCCGCGGUAA